rnacentral:lncRNA from 1 species
AUCUCCUUCAGUUUUCAGUAGUUGAAGGUGAAGUUCGUUCAUUGUUUGUUUAUCCUUUAUUUUAUCGCAUCAUCAAGUUGAUGAUAAUUUUUGAUUGCUGAAGGUCUUAAAUUAAGACGAAGGUGGGAAUAGAACUGCAGAUACAUAUUAUUAUACUAAAAUCCACCAUGACAGAUGAAUAUGAUGCCAAGGAUUAGAUUUGAAAAAAGUUCUUCUCUCUACAUUUGAUGAAAGCAAUUUUCAGCAAAGGUGGGAAUAGAACUGCAGACGCAUAUACCAAAAUCCACCAUGACAGACGAAUAUGCUGCCAACUACAGUUUUAGAUUUAAAACUCCUUUCUACAUCUGAUGGAAACCAUUUUCAGACCAAGAGUAGAGAGACUACGCCUCAUGAAGCUCAAAUCGAGGACGAUAGCAGUUCAAAGUAAAAAUAUAUAAUUAGUUAUAAAUUGAAAGUUCAAUUUUUGUAAUAUUUAAUAAAAAUCAUUGCAUUUUAUUGAAAA